rnacentral:rRNA from 1 species
GACGAACGCUGGCGGCGUGCUUAACACAUGCAAGUCGAACGGAAAGGCCCUGCUUUUGUGGGGUGCUCGAGUGGCGAACGGGUGAGUAACACGUGAGUAACCUGCCCUUGACUUUGGGAUAACUUCAGGAAACUGGGGCUAAUACCGGAUAGGAGCUCCUGCUGCAUGGUGGGGGUUGGAAAGUUUCGGCGGUUGGGGAUGGACUCGCGGCUUAUCAGCUUGUUGGUGGGGUAGUGGCUUACCAAGGCUUUGACGGGUAGCCGGCCUGAGAGGGUGACCGGCGGCGUGGUGACCGGGAGACGCCACCGACGGGUGGGGUAGGGGGGAGUGGGGAGGAGAGCAGGACGGGGGGAGGCGGGAGGCAGAAGCUGCGGGUGGGGGAUGGGGGCGUGGGGGUGGUGACCCGAUUAGGGGGGUGGCGGGGGGGGAGGGACGGUGAUGGGCAGGGAAGGACGGAGGAACUACGAGCGAGCAGCGGCGGGAAUAAUGGGCAGAGCACACGUCUGAAC